CCUAUGGGCGGCAGCAGUGGGGAAUAUUGCGCAAUGGGCGAAAGCCUGACGCAGCGACGCCGCGUGCGGGACGAAGGCCUUCGGGUUGUAAAACGCUUUCAGCAGGGACGAGGCCCUCACGGUGACGGUACCUGCAGAAGAAGCACCGGCUAAAUACGUGCCAGCAGCCGCGGUAAUACGUAGGGGGCGAGCGUUAUCCGGAGUCAUUGGGCGUAAAGCGCGCGUAGGGGGCCUGUUAGGUCGGUGGUCAAAUACCGGGGCUCAACCCCGGUCCGCCCCCGAUACGGGCAGGCUUGAGUCUGCUAGGGGAAGGCGGAAUUCGCGGUGUAGCGGUGGAAUGCGCAGAUAUUAGGAAGAACCCCGACGGCGAAGGCAGCCUUCUGGGCCACGACUGACGCUGAGGCGCGAAAGCUAGGGGAGCGAACAGGAUUAGAUACCCGGGUAGUC
rnacentral:rRNA from 1 species